rnacentral:lncRNA from 1 species
UUGACACAGGAAAGUGAUGAAAAUGACACCCAGAUAGAAGAGCAGAGAGGAGAGCCUCUUAUACUGACACAGGACUGGGAAGGUAUCACACAGAAAGCACUGCCUUUUAUACCAGCACAGGAAAACGAUGAUGAUGAUGCCAUCCAGACAGUAUUUGGAAUUGAACCAGUGGUACUGGCACAGGAAAACACUCAUGUUUCCAGCCAAGGACAAGAGGAAAGAGCAGAAUCUUUCACAAUGAGUUGUGCCUCUCAAGAAGUAGAUGCCCACUCCCGCGGACUAACAGCAAAGCAAAGCAUCAUCUCGAUUCUAUCCUUCGCAAUAAGACAUAAUACUACAGGUGUAUUGAUGGAAGAUCUGCUGAAUCUGCUCAAGUUACAUUCUGCUGGGACUGGUGCAGUUCCAACAAGCAAGUAUUUAUUGGAG